rnacentral:tRNA from 1 species
UAUAUUUAAGUAUAACGAUGUAUAAAAACUUUUGAAGUUUUAGGAAAUAGUUAAAUUCUAUUAAAUAUAA